rnacentral:tRNA from 1 species
GAUCUGCUCGUCGAGCGGGCGCAGCGCCGCAGGCGCCUGGCCUGCAUAGCAGGCGGCGAUGUCGGCGCGCCACUGUUCCAGCGCGGCGAGCCGGUCG